rnacentral:lncRNA from 1 species
GUCAGUUAGAUAGAGGACGGAUUAAAGAAGGAGGAAACUGGAAGCAAAGAGACCAUUUGAGAAGCUGUUGCAAUAAUCUGUGGUCUGAACUGAGACAGUGGCUGUGUGAGUUAGAAUUGAUGACUUGGCAACUUCCUGGAUAUGGCGAUGAAGAUGAUCAAGGAUGAUCCCAAGCUCCACGCUGGCACUUACAAGAAGUUAAGACAAGCCGAAGGACUGAGAUGCGCUGGC